UUGCAUCUAUUCAACAGAUCUAGAGCAGUUACUGUCUGUUGCUAAGGUUUCUACUACAGUUGCAAGAGGAAAGUGUCCUUGUGCUUUCUCCCUUUCUCAGUGGGCAGCUGAGAUUCAAUAGCAAAAUAUGG
rnacentral:snoRNA from 1 species